UAAUUUUUGCUUUUUAUAUUUUUUUAUUUUUCUUUAAAUUUCAGAUUCUGAGAAGAGAAGUAUUUGGUCUGCUAGGGUUUUGUCUCCUCUUUCAAUCAAUGCCAUCCUCUCAUCCUCUUCUUCUGCUGUAUCUCUCGUUCGCUUAUCAUUGCCGCUGCAACACGCCUCAGACAACGCCGCAACCUGCUCCCGCCGCGCUACACGCUGCCGCCGCCGCCGCCGCCUCAACACGCUUCCGGGUGAAAUAGAUAUCUGAUUGAUUCUCUUGGUACGGGAAUCUACCAAGUGAGUUGGCUUCUGCAGUACCCCAGACCAUCACUGUCACCCCAGAAGGGAAUGUGGCUAUUCAAAGGGCAAGCCAUUGAAUUGUUUUGAAUUGUUUGAUCAGGAAACAGAACAGAAAGAAUGAGAUUAGAGCCAUUAUUAGUGGUAAAAUGUAAUAUCUAGAACUUAACAGUUUUUUGUUUGUGCUUUCUUGUUAUCAACCGUAAAAUGGACUGUGACAAGCAUUAUAACUUAACAGUUUUUUAUAUUCAUUGGGGUUUGUGAGGUCUCAGUUGAUAUAUAUUAUAUUUUCAUUCUGCAUCUUAAUACAUGGUUGAAGUGAAGUAAUUAAUUGCUUGGCCAUAUGAAACCUUUACCCUUUU